rnacentral:tRNA from 1 species
GGGAGCGUUUGUACGGCUGGUGCCGGCCCCGGUCUUCAAAACCGGCGGGGGGUGUGAACAACGCUCCCAGUGGGUUCGAUUCCCAUACGCUCCCG